AAAUUGAAGAGUUUGAUCAUGGCUCAGAUUGAACGCUGGCGGCAGGCCUAACACAUGCAAGUCGAACGGUAACAGGAAGCAGCUUGCUGCUUCGCUGACGAGUGGCGGACGGGUGAGUAAUGUCUGGGAAACUGCCUGAUGGAGGGGGAUAACUACUGGAAACGGUGGCUAAUACCGCAUAACGUCGCAAGACCAAAGAGGGGGACCUUCGGGCCUCUUGCCAUCAGAUGUGCCCAGAUGGGAUUAGCUAGUUGGUGAGGUAACGGCUCACCAAGGCGACGAUCCCUAGCUGGUCUGAGAGGAUGACCAGCCACACUGGAACUGAGACACGGUCCAGACUCCUACGGGAGGCAGCAGUGGGAAUAUUGCACAAUGGGCGCAAGCCUGAUGCAGCCAUGCCGCGUGUAUG
rnacentral:rRNA from 1 species